rnacentral:lncRNA from 10 species
GUUAAUAUUUGGGCCAGGUGCAGUGGUUCAAUCCCAGCACUUUGGAAGGCCGAGGUGGAGAAGGCUGAGCUCAGGAGUUCAAGACCAGCCUGACCAACGUGGUGAAACCCCAUUUCGACUAAAAAUACAAUAUUAGCUAGGCAUGGUGGCGCAUGCUUGUAAUCCCAGAUACUUGGGAGGCCGAGGCAGGUGAAUCACUUAAAAUGGGGAGGCGGAGGUUGCAUCAAGCUGAGGUCACACCAUUGCACUCAGACUAGGCAACAAGAGCAAAACUCCAUCUAAAAAAAAAAAAAAAAAAUGGAAUAUAGAGACAACUCUUAAAACUGAACAAUAAAUUUGAAUAACUUGAUUUAGAAAUGAACAAAUAAUUGAACUAAAAGAUACACAAGGUCGUGUGCAGGGCCUCAUGCCUGUAAUCCCAGCACUUUGGGAGGCCAAGGCGGGUGGAUCACCUGAGGUCAGGAGUCCGAGACCAGCCUGGCCAAGGUGGUGAAACCCUGUCUCGACUAAAAAUACAAAAUUAGAUGGGCGUGGUGGCUCAUGCCUGUAAUCCAGCUGCUCAGGAGGCUGAGAUAGGAGAAUCAUUUGAACCUGGGAGAUGGAGGUUUCAGGGAGCUGAGGCCGCGCCAUUGUACUCCAGCCCAGGUGAUAAGAGUAAAACUCUGUCUCAAAAAAAAAAAAAAGAUACACAAAUGGGGAAAACCAUUUGAAAUGGCACAUAAAAUUAACAAUUUGUAGAGAAACAUGUAAAAAUAAAAAUGAAAAAA